rnacentral:RNase_P_RNA from 19 species
GGAGUGGCUCGGAUGGUCGCGGCAGGUUUAACCUGUCGAGGAAAGUCCGGGCUGCACAGGGCAGAGCGCCGGAUAACGUCCGGUGGGGGUGACCCCGGGAAAGUGCCACAGAAAACAGACCGCCGCGGCAUGCCGCGGUAAGGGUGAAACGGUGCGGUAAGAGCGCACCGCCCGGUGCGGUAACGGACCGGGGCACGGUAAACCCCGCUCGCAGCAAGGCCAAAUAGGGAAGCGCCAAACGUGGCCCGCGUUUGCUUCCGGGUAGGCUGCUCGAGCCUGUCAGUAAUGGCAGGCCCAGAUGAAUGACCAUCUCCCCGCUCCGGCGGGAGACAGAACCCGGCUUACAGAGCCACUCCGCAU